UACGGAAGGCAGCAGUGGGGAAUAUUGCACAAUGGGCGCAAGCCUGAUGCAGCCAUGCCGCGUGUAUGAAGAAGGCCUUCGGGUUGUAAAGUACUUUCAGUCGUGAGGAAGGUGUUAAGGUUAAUAACCUUAGCAAUUGACGUUAGCGACAGAAGAAGCACCGGCUAACUCCGUGCCAGCAGCCGCGGUAAUACGGAGGGUGCGAGCGUUAAUCGGAAUUACUGGGCGUAAAGGGCACGCAGGCGGUUAAUUAAGUUGGAUGUGAAAUCCCCGGGCUUAACCUGGGAAUGGCAUUCAAGACUGGUUAGCUAGAGUCUUGUAGAGGGGGUAGAAUUCCAUGUGUAGCGGUGAAAUGCGUAGAGAUGUGGAGGAAUACCGGUGGCGAAGGCGGGCCCCUGGGACAAAGACUGACGCUCAUGUGCGAAAGCGUGGGGAGCAAACAGGGAUUAGAUACC
rnacentral:rRNA from 1 species